UUAAGGCACUCUUGCCAAAGUAACCAACGCAAAACUUUAUGAGUGGAGAAUGUGAAGAUUGUUAAUCUCUCAACAACUUAUCACUAAUUCACAAUCACAAUAUCGCAAGCAACGCGCGUCGCAACAGUUUCUGUAUUUCUAUUUUGCUGCCCAGUUUUGAUUUUUUAUUCGAGUUAGCCGAAAUUUGUAUUUACAAUUUUUUGAAAAUGAAUAAUAUUAUUAAAAUAAAUAUCAUAAUGAAGGCGAUAUAUACGAAACUGGCAGCUAAAACUGAAGCAUUCUUUGCCCAUCCGGCUGCAACGUCCGUAUUGGUGUUUGCAUUAUUCGUCGAUCAGCACUAUUUAACCAAUCGUGCUAUCAACAAAGCGAAGAAAGACUAUAAUACAGCGUUACUUAAAUUGAAAGCGAAAACGGAAGAACACGAAAAACGUAUAACAGAGCUCGAAAAAGCUUAUAAAAUAGAUCCAAACUUAAUAUGUGAGUUUCUAUCAAGUCUAAAGUGUCCAGAAUUGUGUCGUGAUACUUCAACGUUUUGAACAAGAAUCAUCGCAGUCGAGCUGAAUAAAUCAUCGAGAUAUUAUCCGAAGCGUUAUAAAAUAUCGAUAUCAAUGGGUAUACUUUUCAUUUCGAGUGUACUAUAACAUGUAAUAAUAUGUAUCCAGUUUUUUUCUUUUUUAUUGUAUAUAUUUACCUAUGUCGAUUGCGUUUUCGUCAAUUUGGCGACGAUUUUUGAAAAUUUGUAUUAAAUAGUUCGAUCUCAGUGUC